GUUAAGUUCUCUUGAUUUUAUAAAUUUAAGAUUUUAUGUUUUUGUGUUUUUAUUCAUAAAAAAGGGUGAAUUUUCCAGUUUUCAGACAAUGCUUUGAGUAGUUAUCAUGAAACUUAGACUGGUUUAUAUCUAUAAAGAUAACCUGCCUUUAGUGAUAUGACAUUAAAAGGUAAUUGAACUCCUUGAAAAAGCAACGGGCGUAUGAUGUGCUCAUGUCGCAGCUGUUUAUUAAGAAUCCAAUUAUAUAUAUUUGUAUUGGUGUCAGAACUGAUUUUCCUUAUCCAGGAAUUUUGUUACCUUUUGAAACCAUUGCAAAGGAUGUGUUUGUCUCACCUUUCUGAUAGAAUACGAUAGAAAUAUCAAAAAGCUGUAGUCCACUUCUGUUUUAGAAAGAAUUACUGAAAAUGAUUCAGUAUUAUUUUCUAGAACAAUUAAUUAACAGGAGCAUAAUAAAGAAUGACCUUGCAGUAAUCUAUGAUGUUGUUGUCUUUGUGUAUCAUUAUAAGCUAACAGGUUAAAUUAGUUUAAAUUAGGUAUAGAGGUAAGUUUUUUUACAAAAGAAAAGGUAUUAAUCAGCAGUAGUAACCAUUUUUUUUAAAGGAUUCUCUGUUAAAACAGCUUCAAAAUUCCAGUCUCACUAUGUUUUAUAGAACAAUUAACUUUGGAUUAAAUGUAUAAACAUCAUGUUACAAGGCUGGAAACCUGUAGAUAUACAAGGUCUAUUCAAAUGGAGAUUGUUAAUAAUUCGAGGUUUAUGCAAGUAAAGGAUUUCAUCAAAUAUUUUUGAAAUCUUGGUGGACAGUCGAUUAUUUAUCAACUUGUGCUUUAUAUACAUUGAAAGCGUUGACAACAAUUCCCUGGAAACGGUGGAGCUUCCUAUGAUGACAAACAAUAACGUCCUAUACUGAUCUAUACUUGUUUAACACAACUGAUAUGAGCAGAUGCUUACACGGAGGCUGUAGAAACGGACCAAAAGAACAAGGAUAGAUCUUGUGAAUAUGCUGUUUACCCAGUUAUGUUUAUUGUUGUCUAUUGUAUUUGAGAUUUAACUAGAACACUGAUUCACAAUAUUUGGUGAACAUUGGGUAAAAGCAUCGACGCCACUUCUAGGAUGAACACUUUUCAUUUAAAUGAAGAGGAGUGAAAAUUGGAAAAUAAUGCCAAAAUAAUAAAGUAUUUUGAUAGUACAUUCUGUUGAUUUUGGCACCAAAAGCGUCAAAGAUAACUUUAGUACUUUAGUUUUCGGUCUUAAACAAAUUACUUGUUGAUAGUUGAUACUAAAAUAAAAAGGUAGUCACGUGUUUAAAAGUUGAUGCUUAUUACAUUGCUUUAGGAUAUUUAUAAAAAAAAAAUCAAAAAUACAAAUUAUUGUGCCGUGAAAACGGGAAAUGAAGUCUAGCGGGACACGGGAAAUUACAAAAAAAUGAGAAUUGAUUACGAACAUAGUGUAAGCGGGAUACGGGAAUCUGACAAAACAGUAAGCGGGAUCCGGGAUCAGAACCCCCCCCCACCCCCACCCAAUGAGACCCUUCACAUUUCCAAUGAUACUUUUUUAACUACCCUGGCCUUUGCGAGAACUUUUAAUCAUUUGGCGUCCGUUCAUCGUCGUCGUUAGCACAAAUAUUCUGAAACUACUGGGCCGAAUUGAACCAACCUUUCAUGGACUAAUAACAUGUAAUAAGGUAAAACUGUAUCCGGGAUGUGAUUCAUCAUCAAACAGCAGCUGUUGCUAAAAAUAGAACAUAAUGG
rnacentral:lncRNA from 1 species